GAGCUCUGUGAAGCUGGAAGGAAUUCUCCACCCAGCACAGCUGUGAAGGUAUUGAUCUGCCUCUCCUGGGAGAAGCCAAACUUGUUCAUUUUGGGAUAGAUCUCAUACCAGGAGGCGGUAGCCAAAUUGGAGGGGCUACAAAGAACAGCUGCAGUGACUGACAUGAAGGAAUUGGGCAAUGGCAGAAGAUUACAAGAAUUAAAGCUGUGAGCCUGACUAAGUGAUGAUUAAAGAAAGCCAAGAAGAUGCAGCUCAGUACAAAAUGGCUGCAUGGGGAUAACCCACAGAAAUGGGUUUGGAAUCUGUGCAGAGGCUGAGCUGUGGAGAGUCUUUCAGGUUUAAGGAUGCUUCUCUCACAGAUGUGGGGUGUGUUAUUAAAAACCCCCCGCUGAAGCUUGGCAGCAGACCUGGUGAGGAGUGCUCAAGUCACCUGCAGUGGGUGGAGAGCAAUGUGGAGAACAGCUUCUCCAGCCCCUUUUCCAGCCCUGAGAGUGCCAGUGGAUGCUGCUGGGAGUCUUUGCUGCAAAAUGCUGCUGCUGCCGCUUCUGCUCCGAUGCUUCACCACUCCCCUGCUGACCCACUCCUGCUUUGGCAGAAGAAAACUCGGCAAAACUUGGCUUUUCCACCACAAAAGCACAAACUGCAGGCUGUGUGUGCUCUGCUCCGUGAGUUCACUGCCACACUGGUGUCUCCAGUCACAGAUUCCUCGCUCAUGUGGUCUGUCGGUUUUGGAGCAUCUUCUCGAUCUGCUUUUGGGUCUGAGCACAUCAGUGAGGAAGAUGAAGGGGGAAAAGAAAAGAUCAUUUGUGAUGAAGCACAGAGUGAGCACACAGAUUGGGGCAGACUGCAUCUCGCUGCUUGCAUGCAGUACUAUUCCCACGAGGCAGCUGCAAUCCUGGCAAUUAAAUCAGGAAGGAUGCGUUGGGGAAAACCCCCGUGAUGGCGUCUGAGGAUGCUGAUUAAAUGUGCACAGCCUGGUGAGCCCACGUGGAACAAAAGGCUGCGUGGCUGAGCCUGACAGACUUGCUGUGUCCUGGGCAAAAAGAAUUCUGGGGUUUUAUUAAACACUUUGAAGUAGAUACCUGAGGAAGGAAAAGCUUUCUGCAGACACACACUCAGCUGUGCAGCCCACACAGCUCCCAGCUUUUACAGUCAGAACGUGGAGCAUCGGUUCCAUCCCAACCUCCAGCGCUGGUGUGGCAGGAGGGGUAACAGGUUCCUUUGAGCAGGAACCUGCUCUGACCGCGGCAGCAACAUCAAAUAUCACCCAGGGAAUGAUCAUUUCCAUGGCUGCACUGUGGGAUCCGACAGAGGAAGCCCUGCAAGUGGCACACGUUGCUAAAUCAAAAAGCCAGCUCAGGUCAGGGUUGGGCUGGCUCUGAACUUGUCCUGCAGUUGCUGAUGGUGGGAGAUGUGAACAAUGCCUGAGGUCUGUCCUGGAAGAGAGAGACAGGGGGAUUUAUAAAGCAAAUCUGCUCUCAAGGACUGGCCUGCCGUGGAUUUUCCUCUGAGCAAACAACCCCGCUCCUUCCCGGGCACACUGACCACAUUCAGCUGGGCUCGAUUGUUUUGUGUUCCCAUCGCUGUUCAGAUUUCAAUCCUGUCGUCCCCAGGAGUCUUUCCAGACUUGGGCUGUGUUUCUCUGCCUGUAGAAAUGUCACUUCAUCCUAGAAAAUGUCACUAGGAUUGUUAUUUAAACAGUAAUAGGGUUAAAG
rnacentral:lncRNA from 1 species